rnacentral:rRNA from 1 species
GUGGGGAAUUUUGCGCAAUGGGCGAAAGCCUGACGCAGCAACGCCGCGUGUGUGAUGAAGGCCUUCGGGUUGUAAAGCACUGUUCAGAGGGAAGAACCAACGGGGGUAACGCCUCGUCCUGACGGUACCUCUGCAGAAAGCACUGGCUAACUCCGUGCCAGCAGCCGCGGUAAUACGGAGAGUGCGAGCGUUGUUCGGAAUCACUGGGCGUAAAGGGCGUCUAGGCGGCUCUCUAAGUCAGAUGUGAAAGCCCUGGGCUCAACCGAGGAAGUGCAUCUGAAACUGGAGGGCUUGAGUACCGAAGGGGGCAGCGGAAUUCCCGGUGUAGAGGUGAAAUUCGUAGAUAUCGGGAGGAACACCAGUGGCGAAGGCGGCUGCCUGGCCGGAUACUGACGCUAAAGCGCGAAAGCGUGGGGAGCAAACAGGAUUAGAAACCCCAGUAGUCC